rnacentral:rRNA from 1 species
GGGUUUGAUCCUGGCUCAGGAUGAACGCUGGCGGCGUGCUUAACACAUGCAAGUCGAACGAUGAUCCGGUGCUUGCACCGGGGAUUAGUGGCGAACGGGUGAGUAACACGUGAGUAACCUGCCCUUGACUCUGGGAUAAGCCUGGGAAACUGGGUCUAAUACCGGAUAUGACUCCUCAUCGCAUGGUGGGGGGUGGAAAGCUUUUGCGGUUUUGGAUGGACUCGCGGCCUAUCAGCUUGUUGGUGAGGUAAUGGCUCACCAAGGCGACGACGGGUAGCCGGCCUGAGAGGGUGACCGGCCACACUGGGACUGAGACACGGCCCAGACUCCUACGGGAGGCAGCAGUGGGGAAUAUUGCACAAUGGGCGAAAGCCUGAUGCAGCGACGCCGCGUGAGGGAUGACGGCCUUCGGGUUGUAAACCUCUUUCAGUAGGGAAGAAGCGAAAGUGACGGUACCUGCAGAAGAAGCGCCGGCUAACUACGUGCCAGCAGCCGCGGUAAUACGUAGGGCGCAAGCGUUAUCCGGAAUUAUUGGGCGUAAAGAGCUCGUAGGCGGUUUGUCGCGUCUGCCGUGAAAGUCCGGGGCUCAACUCCGGAUCUGCGGUGGGUACGGGCAGACUAGAGUGAUGUAGGGGAGACUGGAAUUCCUGGUGUAGCGGUGAAAUGCGCAGAUAUCAGGAGGAACACCGAUGGCGAAGGCAGGUCUCUGGGCAUUAACUGACGCUGAGGAGCGAAAGCAUGGGGAGCGAACAGGAUUAGAUACCCUGGUAGUCCAUGC